rfam:Klebsiella pneumoniae IS39, WGS project CBWT01000000 data, contig: c81
CUUUAAAAAUCUGGAUCAAGCUGAAAAUUGAAACGACACACAGUUAAUGUGUGUUCGAGUCUCUCAAAUUUUCGCGACACGAUGAUGUUUUACGAAACAUCUUCGG